rnacentral:rRNA from 1 species
CAGUAGCCACGGGAAUACGAAGGGGGCUAGCGUUGUUCGGAAUUACUGGGCGUAAAGCGCACGCAGGCGGCUCGAUAAAUUAGAAGUGAAAGCCUUGGGCUUAACCUGAGAAUUGCUUUUAAGACUGUCGAGCUAGAAUCCAGAAGAGGGUAGUGGAAUUCCGAGUGUAGAGGUGAAAUUCGUAGAUAUUCGGAAGAACACCAGUGGCGAAGGCGACUACCUGGUCUGGCAUUGACGCUCAUGUGCGAAAGCGUGGGGAGCAAACAGGAUUAGAUACCCGUGUAGUCCCUGUCUCUUAUAC